GCGGGUGUAGUUCAAUGGUGGAACCUCAGCCUUCCAAGCUGAUGGUGUGGGUUCGAUUCCCAUCACCCGCUCCA
rnacentral:tRNA from 1 species